UACGUAGGGUGUGAGCGUUGUCCGGAAUUAUUGGGCGUAAAGGGCUCGUAGGCGGUUUGUCGCGUCGGGAGUGAAAUCCAUUGGCUUAACUGGUGGCUUGCUUUCGAUACGGGCAGACUGGAGGUAUGCAGGGGAGAACGGAAUUCCUGGUGUAGCGGUGAAAUGCGUAGAUAUUGGGAGGAACACCAGUGGCGAAGGCGGCUACCUGGACCGGUUCUGACGCUGAGGCGCGAAAGCGUGGGUAGCAAACAGG
rnacentral:rRNA from 1 species